rnacentral:rRNA from 1 species
UGCCUACGGGAGGCAGCAGUGAGGAAUAUUGGUCAAUGGCCGCAGGGCUGAACCAGCCAAGUCGCGUGAGGGAUGACGGUCCUAUGGAUUGUAAACCUCUUUUGUCAGGGAGCAAAGGGCGCCACGUGUGGCGUUUUGCGAGUACCUGAAGAAAAAGCAUCGGCUAACUCCGUGCCAGCAGCCGCGGUAAUACGGAGGAUGCGAGCGUUAUCCGGAUUUAUUGGGCUUAAAGGGUGCGUAGGCGGAAGGUUAAGUCAGCGGUCAAAUGUCGGUGCUCAACACCGGCCUGCCGUUGAAACUGGUCU